GAGGAUCAAGAGAGCAACCCACAGUGAUAUGGCCACUUAAUUUUUGACAAAGUAUUCAAAAGAUAAACUGGAGUAGGGGGAAGUCUCCUAGGAAGUGGUGAUGGAGAAACUGGGCAUCUAUAUCACAAGAAUGAUGCUAGACCCACAUCUCUAACACUGCACAAAAUGAAUCAAGACAUCAACAUAAGGCCUGGACCUUUGACAGUGCUAAGGAGAACAUAAGAAAACUACUUCAAGAUACAGGUAAAGAACUGUAGAGGCAAGAACUUUCUGAAAAAUAGUACAAGAAAUAAUCCCAUUAACUGACAAAGGGAUUACAUAAAAAUAACAACAAACCCCAAAACUUCUGCACAGCAAAAUAAUCCCCAGAGUGAGGAGAAAAUCCACAUAAUGGAAGAAAAAGAGUCUAACUAUGUCUAAGACAGGUUAACAUUUAGAAUAUGUAAGAAUGACAUACAUUAAAUGUACAUGCACAAAAUUCUCUCUCUGGUCAAUAGUCUAAUGAAUGGAAGAAAGACAAAUGGCUAAUACACACUUGGAAAAGAAUUCAGCAGUCUUGAUGGUCAGGGAAAUGGGAAUUAAAACCACGUUGAUACUGCAUCUCUCUCCUAUCAGAAUGGACAUCAUGAAGAAGGCAAGAGAGAGCAGCUGCUGUUAAGGAUGUUGGGAAAGAGGACCUUUGCUGUGGUAAGAUAAGCUGAUGCAACCCUGUGGGGAUCAAGUUGGAGGCAUCUGAAAAUAGGAUUCCUCUGUGACCUCACUUGAAUACCUCAAAGGACAAGUGUUACCAUAGAGACUUGCACAUCGGUCUGAAUUGCUGCACUAGUCAUAGAACCUAGGAAAUACAGGUCAAAAGCCAUAGAGCAGAGUGACCAAGACUGGAGACAGUUAAAGGGAACAGAGAAAAUGUUCCCCUCUUCUUCUGGAUGAAAGUUACCAACCUCACUGUUGCUGGAGCUUAGAAACCCCCGCUUACAGGAAGACGAGGUUCUUGGUAAUGUUGAGGACAGAGCAGUCUUCCGAAUGCUUUCAUGGACGGAUACUGGUGUGGAUGCUAAGCGAGUCUUCCCACGUGAUUGAUCGUCUCCCCUUCCUGCUCUGGUUUCUCACUUACACACCCUGGUGUCAGGCUUUCCCAGCAGGGAUCCCUGGCUGCCUGCCUGCUCCAAAUCUUCUCAACAUGAAUGCAAGCCAUGGCCAUGGUGCCAGACAUAAGAGGUAGAGGAUGAGCAUUCAUUGUGAUGGUGGUGCCAUUCCUAGACAUGAGAAAUCUCUUCAGAGAACCCAAUCCUGCUUAUAUCACCAUCGAUGGGAGCUGAAAAGAUCUAUGACUUAAUAAAUGAAAAGCCAGCUCAGAGAGGAUCUCA
rnacentral:lncRNA from 1 species